UACGUAGGCAGCGAGCGUUGUUCGGAGUUACUGGGCGUAAAGAGUGCGUAGGCGGUUUUCUAAGUUUGGUGUGAAAUCUCCCGGCUCAACUGGGAGGGUGCGCCGAAGACUGGAAGGCUUGAGUAUGGGAGAGGUAAGCGGAAUUCCUGGUGUAGCGGUGAAAUGCGUAGAUAUCAGGAGGAACACCUGCGGUGUAGACGGCUUACUGGACCAUAACUGACGCUGAGGCACGAAAGCCAGGGUAGCAAACGGG
rnacentral:rRNA from 1 species